rnacentral:rRNA from 1 species
AUGGAGAUGGUGUGCUGGAAUGUUAGAGGGCUAAACAUCCCAGCUAAGAAGAAGACGCUUAGGGAGUUUGUGGAUACGGUGCGGGUCGCUAUCAUAUGUAUCUUGGAGACCAAACUAGAGAGGGUGGAUCGGUUCAAUAUAUUGCAAUGCCUAGGUCCAUCUUAUGAUGGUUUCGCGUAUCUACCUGCUUCGGAGAUGAGGGGUGGCAUUAUUGUGGGUUGGGAUUCU